ensembl:lncRNA
GUACACAUACUGUACAAAUACAUAAAGGUACACAUACUGCUCAAAUACAUACAGGUACACAUACUGUACAAAUACAUACAGGUACACAUACUGUACAAAUACAUACAGGUUCACAUACUGUACAAAUACAUACAGGUACACAUACUGUACAAAUACAUACAGGUACACGUACUGCUCAAAUACAUACAGGUACACAUACUGUUCUAUGUAGAUCAUCUAUAUAGCUGCUGUGGGAUCUUGAUUAAAGGCUCAAUACAAUCAAACAGGUCAGGAAACUCUCAGGUGAUUCCAGAUUAGCGGCCAUUUCAAAGGGUGAGCAAUUUCCCCAGUCCCACCCGACCAUCUGCAUACCGCACUGGAACCUUUGAUAUCCCUUGGUUCUUCUAUUCCCUUGGUCCUACCAUCCAAC